CAAAAAAUGACAGCAGAGAGAGCACUGUAUGACAUGAACCAAGACCGCCGGGGCCCAUCAUCUCAGAAGGUACGCAUCUUCGAUCUGUGCCAGGAAAACAAUCUGCGUUUCCAACCCAGACAUCCUUCAAGAUAGAUUUCCUGUAAUUUUCUGUUUCCUCCCAUUGAUGUGAUACUUCUGCACCUGACAGCUCUGUUUCCUGGACUCAGGAUGCCACCACGAACUAUGAGAGUGGGAUAGCACCCACAAAAAAGGCCCGCUUUGAUCAAAGCUUCCCUUAUCUGUUCUGCAGAUAACAUUGCAACAGCAGAAAGCAUCCCCAAGAGGUGUCCUCGGAGGUUGAGUGAACUCCAAAUGGGAGAAUGGAACCUGAAACAGUUCAGAAGAGCUGCAUUCCCUUUUUGAUGUUUGAUGUCUGAACCAUUUAGAUUGUCACUUCAAAAUCUGAUACAUUAUCACGAUUUAAAAUUAAGAAAAGUGUUCUGUGCCUCAAUAUAAAGUCACAAUCACCUUUAAUAGUCCUUUUUUUUUUUUUUACUAAAUAUAAUUACUGCUAUCAGGGAACAGAAAGUUUUCAAAGAACAGAUUUUUAUACAGUUGCAUCCCAAAAAGUAGGCAGUUAGCUCUUUAAUCUCAUAUUUUUCAAGUGACCUGAUUCAUUAUUGAUCCUGAAAUGUGGCAUAAAAGCAAGCAAUGUAUGUGACCGGCACUAUGUGGAUUACUUAAACCUCUGAAUUGUUUUCAAUUAAUUUACACAAUGCCUUGCCUGUAGACUAAAUAAAGUAUUGAAA